rnacentral:lncRNA from 1 species
CAACUAGACCAAUUCAGGGGUUGAUUUUACAUGGAUUUUUGGUGGCCAAAAUAAGGAACAAACUUAAUGUGUCAGUACAAUACUGCCAGAAUAAAUGAAUAAUCCAUCUACCAACAUGCAAAUAUUGGAAACUUCUUCCUUAAAAAAUUACAAAAUAAAAAAGUAUACAAUUCUUUUGGUAACAUAGUAUAAUGCUUUUAUACCUCCUCUUCAUGGUGCUUUCAAAAAAACCUCAUGAAUUGGCAAUAGCACCGGUUAGCUUUUAACAACAAUAUAUGAAUAUGUUUCGCAGUAACAUCCACAGGGGG